rnacentral:rRNA from 1 species
CGGGUGAGUAACGCGUGGGUAACCUGCCUCACACUGGGGGACAACAGUUAGAGAUGACUGCUAAUACCGCAUAAGCGCACAGGACCGCAUGGUCCGGUGUGAAAAACUCCGGUGGUGUGAGAUGGACCCGCGUUGGAUUAGCCAGUUGGCAGGGUAACGGCCUACCAAAGCGACGAUCCAUAGCCGGCCUGAGAGGGUGGACGGCCACAUUGGGACUGAGACACGGCCCAG